rnacentral:lncRNA from 1 species
CUGGGGGAAGAGAAAGCAAAUCACUAGCUGUGUAAUGUGGAGAGAGUGAAGGAGCAAUUUCUGUUUUUACUUCAGUUCUGGAUGGUUCUAUUGUUUUACAAAAAGCAAGACUUCAAAAAAUCCUUUGCUCUAUGCACCAGUGUCACUGUCCCCUUUUCUAUCAUAUGGAAUGGUCACUGGGGUGUAGCUUCACAUCAGACACUACGCCUUCAAGCCCCCUUUGUAGCCAGAUGGGGAUGUGAACCUAUCUGUGCCUGUUGGAUGUGA